AGAUCAGCUGUGGUGGCUUUUGGCUCUUUUCAUCAUCAUUGUUCUGGCAUUUCUCUGUUUCUUGCUGCGUAAAAGGAUCUUCAGUUGUUUUCAGAAGGAAGCACCAAGCAUCUGUCAGCGUGAUGUAGAGAGGGAUCCUGAAUCUGGUGCCCAAAUGAAGCUCAGAUCUGAUGAAUCUGUUUCACUGAAUCAAUCUGAAUCUGAGCACUUCAAAGAUUCGGUGUCAAGAAGAUGAUCUUCAUCCUGAAGAACAUGAAUCAAACUCAGGAUCGCUCGGUCGAGGGAGUUUUGCUUUAUUCUGAGCUUCUGGACAUUUAUUUCCAUUUCUGUGUCUCUUUCAUUAAUGCAGUUGAAUCUGUUACAUUCUGAUGACGUAAUAUGUGUAUAAAUGUGUUUGUAUUUUAUUCUGAGUAUUGUGCUCUCUCUUUCUUCCUAUAAUAAUCAUGCUGUCUAAUCAGCAUCUUGAUUUGCCACACCUGUGAAGUGGAUGGAUUAUCUCGGCAAAGGAGAAGUGCUCAUUAAAACAGAUUUACACAGAUUUGUGAACAAUAUUUGAGAGAAAUAGUCCUUUUGUGGUUUUAUCAUUCGUGUAAAAAACAACAACAACAACAACAACAACAACAACAAAACUGUUAGCAAAUUCUAAUUAAAAAAUUUAAAUUUAAGAUAAACUUUCUCAUUUGAAUAAACUUUAUAUACAACAAAAUAAACUUAACAUGAAAUAAAUGUGCUUUUAUUUCUCAAUACACACUGAAAUGUGUGUGUGUUUGUUUGUUUCUCCAGAAUAGGUCCAGAUAGUGUUUAGCCUAUAGAUACACCUGCACUGCCAAUUUCACAUGUAUUUUUUGUAUUUUCAAACUACUAAAUAAUGCACUUGUAUUUUUUUUUUUUUUAUUACACACAGUAUUUUGUAUUUUUAUUUAAAAUAAAUGUUCAUGUAUUAUGCCCAUCUCUGAUAACCAGUUUUAGAAAUUGGUAGAUCUGUGUAUUUUCCCUUAUGAGCCUGAGAACAGCGUUGAGGUUUUAGGCUGAAGCGGAAACAUUGUUCAUUCAAUAG